GAUGAACGCUAGCGGCAGGCUUAAUACAUGCAAGUCGAGGGGCAGCACGGUUAGCAAUAACUGGUGGCGACCGGCGCACGGGUGCGUAACACGUAUACAAUCUACCUUAAACAGGGGGAUAGCCUUUCGAAAGAGAGAUUAAUACCCCGUAAUAAAUUGAACGGCAUCGUUUGAUUUUGAAAGCUCCGGCGGUUUGAGAUGAGUAUGCGUCUGAUUAGCUAGUUGGUGAGGUAACGGCUCACCAAGGCGACGAUCAGUAGGGGAUCUGAGAGGACUAACCCCACACUGGUACUGAGACACGGACCAGACUCCUACGGGAGGCAGCAGUAAGGAAUAUAGGUCAAUGGAGGCAACUCUGAACCAGCCAUGCCGCGUGCAGGAUGACGGCCCUAU
rnacentral:rRNA from 1 species